UUGCCGGCGACGGCGCACGGGUGCGUAACACGUAUACAAUCUGCCUCUAACAGGGGAAUAGCCCGGAGAAAUUCGGAUUAAUACCCCAUAAUAAAUUGAGUGGCAUCAUUUGAUUUUGAAAGCUCCGGCGGUUAGAGAUGAGUAUGCGUCUGAUUAGCUAGUUGGUAGGGUAACGGCCUACCAAGGCGACGAUCAGUAGGGGAUCUGAGAGGAUGACCCCCCACACGGAUACUGAGACACGGAUCCGACUCCUACGGGAGGCAGCAGUAAGGAAUAUUGGACAAUGCCCGCAAGGGUGAUCCAGCCAUGCCGCGUGCAGGAAGACGGCCCUAUGGGUUGUAAGCUGCUUUUGUACCGGAGAAAACCUUUCCCUGCGGGGAGAGCUGAUCGUACGGUGAGAAUAAGCACCGGCUAACUCCGUGCCAGCAGCCGCGGUAAUACGGAGGGUGCAAGCGUUAUCCGGAAUCAUUGGGUUUAAAGGGUCCGCAGGCGGAUUUAUAAGUCAGUGGUGAAAUCCUAUCGCUUAACGAUAGAACUGCCAUUGAUACUGUAGGUCUUGAAUUCGGUCGAAGUGGGCGGAAUGUGUAGUGUAGCGGUGAAAUGCAUAGAUAUUACACAGAACACCGAUAGCGAAGGCAGCUCACUAGGCCUGGAUUGACGCUCAGGGACGAAAGCGUGGGGAUCAAACAGGAUUAGAUACCCUGGUAGUCCACGCUGUAAACGAUGAUUACUCGUUUUCGGCGAUACACAGUCGGAGACUAGCGAAAGUGGAUUAAGUAAUCCACCUGGGGAGUACGAUCGCAAGGUUGAAACUCAAAGGAAUUGACGGGGGCCCGCACAAGCGGUGGAGCAUGUGGUUUAAUUCGAUGAUACGCGAGGAACCUUACCAGGGCUUGAAAGUUAGUGAAGAAUGUGGAAACAUGUUCGUCAGCAAUGACACGAAACUAGGUGCUGCAUGGCUGUCGUCAGCUCGUGCCGUGAGGUGUUGGGUUAAGUCCCGCAACGAGCGCAACCCCCAUCUUUAGUUGCUAGCAGGUAAUGCUGAGGACUCUAAAGAAACUGCCUACGCAAGUAGAGAGGAAGGCGGGGACGACGUCAAGUCAUCACGGCCCUUACGUCCUGGGCCACACACGUGCUACAAUGGUAGGUACAAGAGGCAGCUACCGGGUGACCGGAUGCGAAUCUCUAAAGCCUAUCUCAGUUCGGAUUGGAGUCU
rnacentral:rRNA from 1 species